AGCAGCCGCGGUAAUUCCAGCUCCAAUAGCGUAUAUUAAAGUUGUUGCAGUUAAAAAGCUCGUAGUUGAAUUUCGGGAUCAAUAUGUUGGUCGUGCCUUGGUACGUACUGGCGUUGUUGGUUUCUACCUUCUGACGAACCAUGAUGUCAUUUAUUUGGUGUCGUGGGGAAUCAGGACUGUUACUUUGAAAAAAUUAGAGUGUUUAAAGCAGGCUCACGCUUGAAUACAUUAGCAUGGAAUAAUGAAAUAGGACGUUUGAUUCUAUUUUGUUGGUUUCUAGGAUUGACGUAAUGAUUAAUAGGGAUAGUUGGGGGCAUUAGUAUUCAAUUGUCAGAGGUGAAAUUCUUGGAUUUAUUGAAGACUAACUACUGCGAAAGCAUUUGCCAAGGAUGUUUUCAUUAAUCAAGAACGAAAGUUAGGGGAUCGAAGACGAUCAGAUACCGUCGUAGUCUUAACCAUAAACUA
rnacentral:rRNA from 1 species